GAGACAGCAGCCGCCACGGUAAUGCGUAGGUGGCAAGCGUUGUCCGGAAUUAUUGGGCGUAAAGGGCUCGCAGGCGGUUUCUUAAGUCUGAUGUGAAAGCCCCCGGCUCAGCCGGGGAGGGUCAUUGGAAACUGGGAAACUUGAGUGCAGAAGAGGAGAGUGGAAUUCCACGUGUAGCGGUGAAAUGCGUAGAGAUGUGGAGGAACACCAGUGACGAAGGCGACUCUCUGGUCUGUAACUGACGCUGAGGAGCAAAAGCGUGGGGAGCGAACAGGAUUAGAUACCACUGUAGUCCCUGUCUCUUAUAC
rnacentral:rRNA from 1 species